UGGAACUUUAAAUUCUUUCAGCAAAUAAAAAGGAAACAACAGCAAACAUUAGAAAGAGGUUGAAGAAAACAGAAAACCAGAGUAGGGACAGAAGGUCUUCUUCACCUAAGCUCUUUGUGAAUACGAAUACAUUAGCAUCUCUGGCUGAAUGAGUACCUAGCAGCAACCUCACAAUAUAUCUAAGUUAUCACAGGGAGGAGUAACAUAAUUGGUGAUAUUUAUGAAAAAAAAUAAGUAGCAGGAAGAGUGGUCCAAGAUGGCAUUGCAGGAAGAUUCCAAACUCCCAUGGACACACCGAAUCUACAGCUACAUAUGGAUCAUUUCCCUCUGGAAUAGAUCUGAAAACUAGGUUCCCAGCACAGAGCUUCUGAAACCCUUGGUGUUUCCUGAGUUGUCGAGUGUUUAUUAUUCAUAAAGCCCUUGGCUCAUAAAUGAGACUACACUAAUGAGACUUACAUAGGCCUCCAGAUAGCUAUGGCCUGGGGCAUGGUCAUCAGCAAGACCAACCCCUUGAUCAGAGAGUUGGGACUUUGAGUCAGGCUGAACUCUGGAGAGAGGAAUGAAGCUAGACAUUGAGUUCAACAUGCCACCAAUGAUUUAAUCAAUUGAACCCCAAGAUACCCUCUGGACACAGGCUCAGUAGAACUUCCUGGUUAAUGGAUGCACUGAUGCACCAGGAGGGUGACCCACACUAAUUUCAUGAGGAGAAGGCAUGGAAGCUCUGAGUUUUGAGGCCUCCCAAACUGUACCUUAUGUAUCUCUUCAUUUGGCUGGCCUAGAUUUUUAUCCUUUACAAUAAAAUUUUAAU